rnacentral:lncRNA from 1 species
UAUUUAUCUAUGAGUUUAUCCUUAAUUUCCUCUUCAAUAUUUUCCCAUGCAAAGAAAUGAUGCCACUUACAACAUGUAUUUUUAAAUUAACAUAAGUAUGAAUUUCAGGUUUAUUAUUCCCCCAUGUGGAAUAUCCUAUGAAAUAUUCUACUUCAUCUCUCAGGAAAUCAUUACACUUUCCUCAUCUUUUUCAUGUUUUAACAAUUCCUUUUUUCCUCACUGGCCUUGAAGACUGUAAUUUUGAUAUCCUCUGGGCAAAGCAGUGUUGUACAUAAUCCACUCUCAUGCCCCAUUUUAGCCCAUUAGCUGCUCUGUUCCAGUCUUAACCAGAAAAUAAUAUUCACAGUUGUUGCCUUGCACCUGAAAACAUUCCUGGGUAAAAGAACACCUUUUCCAAAGCAAAGUAUGAGAAGCAACCACAGCAGUCACAGUGCAAUGUUUGCUCCUGACUGAAGCUGAUUUCUUCCUGAGCCCACUGGCUCCCAAUCUGCCACUGCCCCACCCUGCUGCAGUAUUUGGGUGCCACUGUCACCACUUCUGGUUAUGCACUUCUAACCAUCCCCUGGCCUGGAGCAGCAGAGCAUCCUCAGCUUCAGCCUGAAAGAGGUGUCUGGACCCCAAUAACACCAUUUGUUUCUGUUUUAUGAGUUACUGAACCAUACAGCCAUCUCUACAGCAGGCAUUGAGCUGAGAUCACAGAGGGAACUGACCUCAUCUCCUGCUACCUGAGUCUCCUUCCCCAUGAAACUGGAGUCCCUGAGCAGCCAGGAAAGAGCAGGGACCUCCUCUAGGCUCCUAGCUCCAGGUAUAGUGUUCAGCAUGCAACAACAUCCCUGUGUAAGUAAAGGAUUUUUUCUUUGUUUUCUCUGGCACCUCACUUAUUCUGCUGCCUGAACUGCAUUCUGUUUGUGCAUCCAUUCUGUAAAGCGUUAUUUAAAUGAUGAUAAAUUCCCUUCCUCCUUUGGAUACCCACUUUAUUUAAUACAGAAUAUAUAAAUGCUUCAACAACA